rnacentral:rRNA from 1 species
AUUGAACGCUGGCGGCAGGCCUAACACAUGCAAGUCGAGCGGCGCGGCGGACGGGGGAGUAAUGCCUAGGAAUCUGCCUGGUAGUGGGGGCGAACGUCCAGAAACGGGAACUAUUACCGCAUACUCUCAGAUUAGCCUAGGUCGGGUUAGCUAGUUGGUGGGGUAAAGGCCUCGCAAGGCCACGAUCCGUAACUGGUCUGAGAGUAGGAUCAGUCACACUGGAACUGAGACACGGUCCAGACUCAUACGGGAGGAAGCAGUGGGGAAUAUUGGACAAUGGGGGAAAGCCUGAUGCAGCCAGGCCGCGUGUAUGAAGAAGGCCUUCGGGUUGUAAAGUACUUUUGUUAGGGAAGCGGUACCUAAAGAAUAAGCACCGGCUAACUACGUGCCAGCAGCCGCGGUAAUUC